UGUAAUGCAGGAAAGAGAAAACACCAAUGUCAAACUGGUGGAAUCUAGAGGACACAAAGAAGAGAUGGAGCUUGAAAAUGAGCCCAGUAAAGCUGAAACUUCUGAUGUGAAGACUGGGAUUUUGAUGAAAGACAUUCCACUUGAUCAGGUUUCAGACUGUUCAUUGUACAGGAGGAGUAAGAUGGAGAAUUUUGAGACUGAUAAUCAAAUGCUCAAGCUAUGGGAAUCUGCUGAGCAAGACUGUAGCCUUGAUCCAGGGGCUUGUGUCACACAAAAGCAGGUUGCUGCACAGUUAGAGAUUGUCAAUGCACAUCAUCAGUUCAAAGAUGCUAACCAGAAGGGUCAGAAUCCCUCUUUAGAGUUACAGGUUGAGAGGGAAGUGGGCAUUGAUAAGCUAGAGGUGUCUACAAGCAUCAAUAAGGAGCCAAAUCAAGAUGGGAACAGAAGAAGGAUAUUGGAGCGACUUGCUUCUGAUGCUCAGAAAUUAAUGUCUCUUCAAACAACUGUGGCGGAUUUGAAGAACAAACUGGAGAUGAAGAAGAGGAGCAAGAAAGCCAAUGAUGCUGAAUUUGAAAGAGUGAAAAGACAGUUACAAGAAGUUGAGGAGGCUGUCAUGCAGCUGGCUGAUGCUAAUGAUCAACUGAUAAAAGAUAUUGAAGAGAAUCCCUCAUCUUCAGAAGGAAAAACUUCAAUAGCACCAGAAGAGACUGGCAAUGUCCACAGAAAAGAACUGACAGAACAAGCACGGAAAGGAUCUGAGCAGAUUGGACGGCUGCAGUUUGAGGUACAAGGCAUCCAGUACCUUCUGCUGAAACUGGAGGGUAAAAAUAAAAGCAAAGGUAAACACAGGUUUCCUGGAAGUAGAACAGGCAUCCUCUUGAGGGACUUCAUCUACAGCGGUAGCAAGAAAAGUAUCAGAAAGAGGAAGAAGGCUUGUUUCUGUGGAUGUGCAAGACCUUCAACCCAUGAAGAUUGAGGCGACCACUCAAGGAGAAGCCGAUUGAUAUUGUUAGCAAAAUUUUACUUGAAACGUUCUUGAUGAUUAAGUGAACAUUUCUUGGAAUAGUUAGCUUGAAUGUCAACCUAGCCUAGCAGAACAGUAAGAAAUAGACUUAUCUAGCAGUAAUAAGCUGUUCCUGUCAGCAUUUUUAAUCUUAUUAGUUCAGUUAAACAAUAUCAAUGCGGUAUAAACUCCUUAAU
rnacentral:misc_RNA from 1 species